rnacentral:lncRNA from 1 species
GCGCCGGGGACAAGUCCUUCCACCGAGGCCGGGUCCCCGCGCCUUCCCUAGCGCCCUGCCUCUCUUUGGCCGCGCUCGCAGGACCGCCUGUAGGAGAGUGAAGCCCCAGGGUUUCCUUGCUGAUGGAGUCCCCCACCUUCCCCAGCCUUCCUGUUCCCGGGCUGGUUACGGCGGCGAAGGGAGACCUUGCCUCUCCCCAGCCUUGGAAGCAGAGGGCUGGAGGUGGCCUUAUGUCCACUGCCUGCGACUCUGGACUUGAAGGGAAGAAGUAAUCGAUCAUGAUGACCGUGAAAGAAACACGUCUCCCUUCAUCCCAGGACCCCUGGUGGACACUGGGUGGUUUAGCAUCCGGACUAUGGAGAUGCUUUGGAGGUGUUGGCAGGACUACGGUUGAGCCCUUAUUUGAUAUUUACCGAUUGAGAAAGAACCAAGAUUAAGAGGCCUGGAACUCAUCAGGGGUAUUUUAUUUAUCCUGCCUUUUCCUCAUUUCCUCUCCUGCUGUCAUGCUUGUUUAUUGAGCACCUACUGUUUAUGGGAAGAAAAGAUAAUAGACAAGAUACUUGACCUCAAACCCAUGAAAAUUUAAUAGUUACAUGUCAUCAUCCUCGGGCCAGCAGCGGUAUGUGUUCUGGUCUUGCUUCCUGGACCACCCAGAAGAGACUUUAUAGCCCCAGCCAUCAGGGGUAUAGUGUGUGCCCAGUGUGUUUUCUAUCCCUGGCUUCCAAAAAGUCCUGGAAGAAAGAAUAGGUGUGACCAGAAAGUCCUUCACCUCCGGAAUCUAAGUGGAUAUGGGAGAAAUGUGGACAUGAGAGGGGCACAGAGGAAGACUACCUGAAGACACACAGAGAGAAGGUGACCACGUGGUUGGAGUGGAGCAUCUACAAACCAACACACAUACCAAGGAUUGCUGGCAAGUAUCACCAGAAGCUAGAAGAGGCAAGAAAGGAUUCUCCCCAAAGCUGUCAGCAAAAACACAGCACUGAUGGUAUAAAGGAGUACAGACGAGGUCAAAAUUCUAAAAUUGGAAUCUUGCCAUUAACAAACAGAACUGACAUUCUGAUACUUCUAUCUGCUGUGGACGUGACACAGAGACUUACCAAAGCCAAGAUACAUUUAUUCAAGGAGGAGCAACUUGCCUUUAUACUUAUACCUUUGUUAAUAACUUGUUUAAAGCAAUCCUUUGUUUUCUUUGCAUAUUUGAAUUGAUUUGCUAAAAGUUAUCUACUGUUAAAUAAGCAAAACUCAAAAUUUUCAAGCAUAUGGGACUUGUUCAGAAUCAGUUUUUAGUUUCUUUUUCAGGAUUUUGUACAAGUUGCAAGAGAAGAGACACAAAAUUAUCUUAUUAAUUCUAUUGCAAUAUGGAGAUACAUUUUAAACAAAUGGAAAUAAUCAAUAUUAGUAUUAUCUGUAUAUUUGUGUGUGUGUGUGUUGAUCUGACUAUAUUUUUCUUCAAAGGGAAAUCACAAAGGCCAAGUGUGUUUAUCAGGUAACUCACCUUAAGAAAACUUGUACUAUGUGAAAAGUCAAUUUCUUUAAAAACUGUCACCAACUCAACCCUGGUUUGUAAGUAGAAAAAACUAUCAAUUAUUUUUUAACAAUAGUAAUACUCCCAAGGUAUAUACUUCUGCCACAAAAAAUUAAGAAUAGUUUACUUAGCACGUUUUGUCAUUGUGGAAAUCAUUGAGAAAAAUCACAGUGGAAAGUUAUUUGAAAAGGCAUAACUGUCAUUAGAAAGAAAUUAAGAAUAAAGAAGGCAGGCCUGGCGUGGUGGCUCAUGCCUGUAAUCCCAGCACUUUGGGAGGCUGAGGUGGGUGGAUCUCCUGAGGUCGGGAGUUCAAGACCAGCCUGACUAACAUGGAGAAACCCCAUCUCUACUAAAAAUACAAAAUUAGCCGGGGUGGUGGCACAUGCCUGUAAUCCCAGCUACUCGGGAGGCUGAGGCAGGAGAAUUGCUUGAACCCAGGAGAUGGAGGUUGCGGUGAGCUGAGAUGGUGCCAUUGCACUCCAGCCU